AAGGGCCCCGCCCACCGAAGCCACGCCCAGUAGCCGCCCCGGGGCGGGGUUCCCCUCGGCUCCCGGCUGCCCUUUCCCCUCCGGCCUCUGCCGGUGCUGCUGCGCCCAGCGGAGCUCCGAGCACGUGCGCAGAGGCUGGCUGUGGCAGAUGCAACUGCAGGAUGACUUGAAAGUAGGGCAUCCUUCACCCAUCUGAAGGGAGGAAAUAGUGGCAGGUGACAGUCUGCAUGUGCAGUUUUCAGAUGCCUUCACCUGAAUGACAUCUACCUCCGUCAGGACCCCAGAUGUCUGACAGCCCUGUGUGACACCAAGAUAAGUAACAAUCUGGCUGCUGACUACCCUAUUGGACAACUCCAAUAUUAGAGAACAUUUCCACCAAUUCAGAAAGUUUAUUAUGCACUGCUGUUCUAGAGCAGGGAUCAGCAAACUUGCUGUAAAGAGCCAGGAUCCCGUUGAAGAUACCACAUUACACUUAGGCUCCUGUUGGCCAUGACAGCUUCUUAGACUUGUUUUUAAUGACCUUGACAGUUUUGUUUUUUUUUUGUUUGUUUUUGAGACGGAGUCUCUGUCAUCCAGGCUGGAGUGCAAUGUAAUGGCUCAAUCUCAGCUCACUGCAACCUCUGCCUCCCGGGUUCAAGUGAUUCUCCUGCCUCAGCCUCCCCAGUAGCUGGGAUUACAGGCACGAGCCACCGUGCCCAGCCGCCUCCUAAAUUCUUAAAACGUUCCAUUUUUAUUCUGUGGUCUUAGUUUAUUCUGUCAUGUAGAGAAUAGUGGUUGAGCCUGUUGUCUUUUGAGAGUGGAUGCUGUAGUCCUUACAUGGCUGACUUUCACCCCGUAAGCUUAUAGUAGAGGAUGGGGAUUUUGUUAUCAGCUGCUAAAAGGGAGAAGCCAAGCCCAGAACUAAGGGUUCUGAUGAGUUGAAGGAGAGGGAAGAUGCCCCUCAAGGCAAAGAGCCUCUGAGUUAGAAUCUGUGCUUCACCAGAGUGACAAUGGUAGAACUUCUCCUUCUCAGUAUUAAUUCUCCUGGAGAGAACUCUAGGGUUGUCUAAACCUGUUCAAAUAGGCUGACUACCCCAGCAAGUGAUGGGUUGGACAUAAGGCAAAGAACAGGAGGGGUGAAAGGGGGCAGAACAGACAAGUUCUGUCCCAGCCUCUGCUACCUCUAACCCCAUGGCAUUCUAUCCUUUUCUACACUGGGUUUCCAUUUCUUACCCCAACAAUGAUCUGUUCUUCCAGGCGCUGUCAUUUAAUUUCCCAGACACUUGACCUGCUUCUGAUUUGUGUACUCCCUCCAUGGCUGAGUUGCAGUGAGUGACAAUAAUCUGUGCUAAUUACUUAUCUUGCCAGAAGACUCAAAGGGUUUAUGGCUUUUACUAAUUGAACUCUAUGCUAGAUGUUAGGGAUAAAUGGUUAACAGGACACAGUUCUUGAUUAUCUUGCUAUGGUCUGUCAAGCCUUAUACAAUCUAGCCUUAUCUCUCUCACCCUCUUAUCUUUAUCACCCGUAGAUUCCCUUGUUGGCCACUGGUUUCUUUCAGUCCUUAAUUAGCCUUUUGUCACUACCUGUCUACACAUGCUGUUUUUCCCUUCUCAUUCCAUCUUGACAUUGUCUAUUUUGAGAUCUCAGCUCAGUUGCAGAGAAGCUGCCUUCCCCAUCUGGCAACCCAUUAUAUGUGUCAGAGUACCAUGUUGUACCAUAGAGCUAGACACAGGUGCCAUGUUGUGUCUUGAAAUGUAUUCACCAGCUUCCAAAGGUUUACCUCAAUCCCCUUUACUCAAGAAGCCUCAGUUCUACUGACAGUUGGUAAUAAUAACCUCUCUGUCAUAAUGUACCCAAAAUAGAGUAAGAAUAUCAUGCUUUUCAGUAAUACUCCAGUGAGUGAGGCUAAGAGUACCAUUUUUGUUCUUAUAAAAGAAUUUUUUUGGACAUGAAUACAAAGGUGUCAGGUUACCAAAUCAUUUGCUAGUAGACCCUAACAAUAUCACCUAUAGGAAACUAAACGUAGCCUUUAAACAUUAAGUGAUGAUAAUGGAUUUGGCCAGGCGCGGUUGCCUAUAAUCCCAACACUGAGAGGCUGAGGUGGGUGGAUCACUUGAGGCCAGGACAGGACCAGCAUGGCCAACAUGGUGAAACCCCGUCUCUACAAAAGAAAAAAAUAUAAAAAUUAGCUGGGUGUUGUGGUGCAUGCCUGUAAUCCCAACUAUUUGGGUGGCUGAGGCACGAGAAUCGCUUGAACUUGGAAGGCAGAGGUUGCAGUGAGCUGAGAUCGUGCCACUGCACUCCAGCCUGGGUAACAGACUGAGACAGUCUCAAAAAAAAAAAAAAGAAAAUAAUGGAUUUGCAGAGACUUGCUAUUUAGAUUUCAGACAUCUGUUAACUAAAACACACGUGUAGGCUUUUGUUACUUAUUUCAGUAAUCUGUAAAUAUCUUUAUAUUUGAGAAAAUUCGUGAGACAUCUUUGUGUAAAUUAUAACUUGAAGAACCUCUCUUACAAGCAGGCAUAUUGGUAAGUCGCUGCGAGGAUAUAACUUAUAACCAGACUGAAGUGUAUAAUUAUAAUAUGUUAUUAUUCUGGGGUUCUAUAAAAAAUAAAAUCUUUGAAUCUA